ACCUUUUUCUGACUGUUGAACUAGUGUGUCACUGUGUGGAAUCAUGAAGGAGAAAUUGAUCGUGUCCGCUCUUUCUCGGUUCAGUUUCAUCAUGUCUUCCCUUCAACACUUGUGUUGUGAUUCUCUCUUUGACCUCCUCCACACUCUUCUUAAUGAAGGCAAGCCCACAAGCUGUGUGGUGUCCACAUCGAAAAAGUGGCAGCUGAAUGUGAGUUUCCUGCGUCUAUUGGGUUUUUCUAUCAGCACAGAGGCAGACAUCAGUUAGAUAGAUGCUCAGAACAUGAAGGUCACUGUAGCCACCAAAUCCAGUCUGUAUCCAGCCCAGAUGGUGGAUCAGCACCUAGAGACAACCUCUACAGCCCUGAAUUUCAGCAGAGACCAGGUUAACUAGAUGAACCCCAGAGAAAGAUCCCCAGUGAAGACCUUGGCUCCUCGACGGCCAUAGGGAAAGACCACGAAACCAUACAAGCCAUCUGCACAAUCUAACUUUGCUGCAUCAUGGAUCAACCUGCUGGUUCAUCUGGCCAGAGGAGAACUGGCCCCCCAAUUGAGCCUGGUUUCUUCCAAGGUUUUUUCUCCAUUCUGUCACCAAUGGAGUUCUGGUUCCUUGCCGCUGUCGCCUCUGGCUUGCUUAGUUGGGGACACUUAAUUUCCAGCAAUAUCAAUGACUUGAUUGCACAGAUACUAUUUAAACUGAACUGAGCUGGACAAUGAAAUAACUGAAUUCAAUGAUGAACUGAAAACUGAAUUUAACUAAAAAUUUGACUGGAUAUUGACUUAGAUAUGGUAAUGACAGUAAUCAGGAACAUAAAGCAGGUGAGUAACAGGGUAAGCAGUCUGUAGAAUAAGAUGAGGUUAGACAAAGACUGAGGGAGUGGAUGCUUUAUGUCAGGGGUGCCAAGCUCAGUUCCUGGAGGGCCGGAGCCCUGCAGAGUUUAGAUUUAACCCUAAUUAAACACACCUGAUCCAACUAAUCAAGUCCUUCAAGCUCAUUUGAAAACUACAUGGUAUGAGGACUGGAGCAGAGCUGGAACUAAACUCUGCAGGGCUCAAGCCCUCCAGGAACUGACUUUAACACCCGUGUUCUAUGUAGUGCUGGUGAUAAGAGCUAGAUGAGUUCCAGUUGUGUACCAUAUGUGCUGAUCCCUGCCUGUGUACAAUUAACAAUGUUAUUCAAAUAAUUGCUAAAGAACAAAUUCUCUAAUUUUUUUUUAAAUCAGCAGACACUUUGCCCAGUAGAUUGCUCUGCUCUGUGAGGGUUCUUAAGGACACAUGAACCUGUGGAA
ensembl:lncRNA